GAUGAACGCUGGCGGCGUGCUUAACACAUGCAAGUCGAACGAAGCACUUAUCUUUGAUUCUUCGGAUGAAGAGGUUUGUGACUGAGUGGCGGACGGGUGAGUAACGCGUGGGUAACCUGCCUCAUACAGGGGGGAUAACAGUUAGAAAUGACUGCUAAUACCGCAUAAGACCACGGAGCCGCAUGGCUCAGUGGGAAAAACUCCGGUGGUAUGAGAUGGACCCGCGUCUGAUUAGGUAGUUGGUGGGGUAACGGCCUACCAAGCCAACGAUCAGUAGCCGACCUGAGAGGGUGACCGGCCACAUUGGGACUGAGACACGGCCCAAACUCCUACGGGAGGCAGCAGUGGGAAUAUUGGGACAAUGGGGGCAACCCUGAUCCAGCCAUGCCGCGUGCAGGAUGAAGGCCU
rnacentral:rRNA from 1 species